CAAAAGUAUGAUCUGUAUGGAAUUGUAGAAUACUUGGGUAAUUCAUCCAAGGGUCACUACGUUUGUUACAUCCGUUCGUCAGAAACAGAUUGACAUCUCUUCAGUGAUGAUAAGACACAGUUUUGGACAGUAAAGCAUAUCUUCGGUUAUAUGUCAUCGUGGUUCUCUACCUUACUCGAGGAAAAGAACACUUUGUUGUUGGGUUAUUUGCAAGAAUUGGCACAAAAAGGUUUGAAUGAGGAUGGUGUUUCCAUUGAAAGUGACAAGGAUAGUUACAGCGGCAGGGGGAGUUGCAGUGGCAGUGACAAUGACAGUGAUGAACAAGAUGGUGCGGAAUAUUUCUCUAGUGGACCAGCAACGAGAAAUGAAGCCGAUCCUAGUUUGGUCGGCUUGUCGCAAGGAAAUGCAAAUGGCAGUAUAGAUAUACCUGAUAGAAACGGAGCGAGUUGCAGACUGGAUGGAGGACCAUCUGGGGAAACAACGAAAACACACCUCCCCUCCCAGAUCAAGCCUGUAAAAUGGAAAUGUCCCUGGGUUUGCUUUGCCAUUCAAUAAAAAUGAAAACGUCAGCCCAGGGAUCACACGAUGACAAGGAAAUGAGCCAUGCAGACUCCCAGGGAGGGUCAUCCCAAGAAAAUAAGGAAAGCUGCAGCUUACUUCAAUUGUCAUCACUUUAACAUGAAGAAGACUGUUGCCCUGAAAACUUAACAUUGCAUAAAGAUGAUGGGAAAAGAUGAUGAGAUGCGGGGCCCCUGUGAUUAACCUGAUGGAGAGGCACGCGCACGUGCUGCAACUUGCAGAUUAUGGGGUCGAGACUAGAGAAAGGAAGCAGAUGAGGCAACAGUCCGCAGCUGGGACGUCAGCAAAGCGGAAGAAGGGUGGCACUUAAAGUAAACUCUAAAGAGGAGCGUGCCGCAGUCGCGUCUCUAAUGUAUCAUGACAUUUUGUUUAUCCAGAUGUAUGUCAUCCUGUAUAAGACAAUUGCUAUGCUGAAAUUUAGCUAUAUAUGCAAACAAUAAUAUCUUC